rnacentral:lncRNA from 1 species
AAUACUACAAUUAUCAAAGUACCUAAUGUGUUACGACAAACGCACAAACGAAAACGAAAUAGCGAAUACAAAAGAAACAAACCACAAGCAAAAAUAAAGAAAAAACAUAGAUAUAUGUGAAAAAUCCUUUGCAGGAAAAAAUCACGGACGAGGAAGAAAAGAACUUCACUAUCAAAACGAAACUAUCUGCUACCUACCACAGACAUUCAUUUUUUCCUUCACAAAUUUAUUUUUCAAUUUGAUCACACCACGAAACUAUCGGCGAGUCGAAAAACCCGGACUUGAAUCGAUUACCAAUUUUGCGUCACAUCUAACAUAAU